rnacentral:ncRNA from 1 species
GUCAAUCCCCACGGGCACCCAAGGCAUGGGCUGAGAUCGCGCUGACGCCGCGCGAGCACCGUAUGAACCUGUCUGGCUAGCACCAGCGAAGGAAGAGAGGAUGCGUUAAUGU